AAUAACCUUCGGGGCAGGGUGAUAACGGCAAACCCGUUUAUUCCCGACCGGUGGUAAAGCCCACGAGCCAUGCGAAUUGGCACGAUCCGGUUGAAUUCCGGAGCCGACGGUACAGUCCGGAUGAAAGAAGGUUUUA
rnacentral:ncRNA from 2 species